UGGGGAAUUUUGGACAAUGGGCGCAAGCCUGAUCCAGCCAUGCCGCGUGUCUGAAGAAGGCCUUCGGGUUGUAAAGGACUUUUGUCAGGGAAGAAAAGGGCGGGGUUAAUACCCCUGUCUGAUGACGGUACCUGAAGAAUAAGCACCGGCUAACUACGUGCCAGCAGCCGCGGUAAUACGUAGGGUGCGAGCGUUAAUCGGAAUUACUGGGCGUAAAGCGGGCGCAGACGGUUACUUAAGCAGGAUGUGAAAUCCCCGGGCUCAACCUGGGAACUGCGUUCUGAACUGGGUGACUAGAGGGUGUCAGAGGGAGGUAGAAUUCCACGUGUAGCAGUGAAAUGCGUAGAGAUGUGGAGGAAUACCGAUGGCGAAGGCAGCCUCCUGGGAUAACACUGACGUUCAUGCCCGAAAGCGUGGGUAGCAAACA
rnacentral:rRNA from 1 species